CCAUACCAUACUAGAAGAAGAGGAAGUCAGGAAUUGUCGAAGUAAUCGAAAGAAACCAGUUGGGAAAUUCGAAAGCAUGAAACUCUCCUUCUCUCUGCCCUCCAAAUCCUCUUCGAAGCCAAACCCUAUCAAGCCCUCGAAGACCUUCGACGACGCCAACGCCCGCCAAAACGGCGACGUUUCCAAGCAAUUCGUCAAAGAAUUCGACGCCUCCAAACCCCUCACCGGCGGCCCCAAAGCCCCCGUCAUCGCUCCGAUCGAAAACGAAUGGCGCCCUCACAAGAAGAUGAAGAACCUCGAGCUUCCGAUCACCGAGCCCGGCGGCCAGGACCUCAAGUUCGAACCCGAGUCGCUCUCCGUCGAGCCCGACUCCAAUAUUUCGUACGGCCUCAAUGUCCGGAAGGCGUCUGAGUCGGAGAAUUCGGGCUCCGGCGCCGGCGGCGAGCGGCUGAGAUCCGGCGGCGUGGAGGAGACGCUGCUUGAGAAAUUCAAGAGCGAUUUGGAGCGGUUGUCGGAUCACAAGGGGAUGGAGGAGUACGAGGGGAUGCCGGUGGAGGGAUACGGUGCGGCGCUGCUUUCCGGCUACGGGUGGUACCCCGGGAGAGGAAUCGGAAGGAAUGCUAAGGAAGAUGUGAAGGUUGUGGAGUAUACUAAGAGUACGGACCGGCACGGGUUAGGGUUUCAUAAGAAUCCGAAAGAGAAGAAGGAGGAGAUUAGGAAAGAGAAAGAGGAGGUGGCUAAGGAGGUGAGGAUUGUUAAGGGUAGAGAUUAUGUGGGUUGUAGGGGGAGGGUUGUGGAGAGAUUGGGGAAUGGGAGACUGGUUUUGAAGCUUGCGAAAAGGGGGAAGGAUCAAGAGGAAGUGGAAGUUAAAGUGAAUGUGGAUGAUGUUGUGGAGGUGGGUUCGAAAGAGGAAGACAAGUGGAGGAGGUUGAAGGAGCAGGAAGUGAAGGUUGGGAGGAGUGAUAAGCCGAGGAGAGAAGAUCAGAGGAGUUAUUCGUCGUGGCUUGCUAGGCACAUUCGGGUCAGGGUAAUCAGCAAGGAGUUGAGAGGUGGGAAAUUGUAUCUGAAGAAGGGGGAGAUAGUGGAUGUGGUUGGACCCAGUACAUGUGAUAUAUCUAUGGAUGGGAGUAGGGAGUUUAUUCAAGGGGUGUCGGAAAAUCUUCUUGAGACUGCACUCCCAAGGCGCGGUGGACCGGUGCUGGUUUUGUCGGGGAAGCAUAAGGGGGUUUUCGGCAGUCUUGUGGAGAAGGAUGCUGAUCGAGAAACUGGUGUUGUCAAGGAUGCUGAUACCCAUGUCUUGCUCAAUGUGAGGCUUGAGCAGAUUGCUGAGUUUACCGGAGAUCCUAGCUACCUUGGAUAUUGAUUUAUAGGAGCUCUUCCUCUGUAUUUAUGGUUAAGCCUUAAUUUAAGGUGUGAGGCUGAUGGCGAAGGAUAUUAUGGGAGGUGGUCUUUAAAGUUGCUUUAUAUAAAGAACAAGCUUAGAGUCUAUUGUUGCACGUAGGCAGUUCAACUUAUCAAUGAUGGAAAUGUUAGCUGGCAUAAGGGAAAAGUUCUACAGCUAUCAGAAGGUGUGGAAAAAAAAAUGAGACAAUGGAUUAUUGUUGCACAUGAGAAGUGGACCUUGUUUCUCCAACAUUGCCAUUUCUCACCAAGCAGCUACUCAAUGUCAUUCCAACUAAUUAUGGCAAUGAACCUCUUGUUUUUCGGAGCAAAAAAUAGAUUUUCUAUACAGAUUUAGUUGAAAUAGCUGAUCUGGGUACUAAAUUCAUAGCGAUGUACAAAAGCUGCAGAAAAUUGGAAUCUAACUGACGAGGUCGAAUAGGUGCCAAUCUGCAAUGAUGCCGUUGCCCGUAGUGCGACAGGCCUUGACAAGGGUGUUCCUGAUGCACAAUUGAAUGCUUGUGUUGAGUUUAACUCGGCUAGUGUGAUUGAAAUCUGAAUCUGUGGAAGCUAUUUGUGCUUUACGUUGUGGAUGUGAAGAUUUCCCCGCACUUGUUAGUUAAUGACCUUGCUGACGCUCCUUAUGUCUGGUGAGUUUUCGUGAAAGGCGUAGGCUAGAGGGGGAGGGAGGUGAAAUACAUAGGUGGUGUAGGUCACCUACAUUCUUUUGAUACUGCAGGCCAUUUUGAGGUGUUCAUGAAUGCUAUUUGAGAAUUGCCCGAGUUAAAAUUUGUACUGAACAAUUAAGUAAGGUCUCAGUUGUAAUUUUGCCUUUGGCCCCGGCGUCGAUUGAGACGGCCCUGUCUCCAUCAAUUUCAAGCAUCUCACGGUAAGGUCUCAGUUAUGGAAGCUACAUUAAUAGGCAAAAUGCAUUUUUAAGCUAAUGCCUUCAAAUUUA